AAAAAAAAAAAAAAGAUAGAUGGAUGUUGUGAGGAAGGACAUGAGGACAGUGGGUGUUAGAGAGGAGGAUGCACGAGAUAGGCUUAGAUGGAAAAAUAUGACAUGCUGUGGCGAGCCCCAACGGGACAAGCCGAAAGGAAAAGUAGAAGAGCCGCAUUGGCUAACGUAGCUAAAGUCGCCGGAAGCAGAUAUCCGCCAUCUUGAUACUCCCGAAACAACCAUGCCGACCUGCGUUAAUUGCCAGUUAUCGUGGCUGUGAUGACGUAUUUACAUAUUCAGCGUUAACACUUGGGACUAAAUGUCUGUGGAAAUAUAUUUCUAAAUUAAACACACAUGGAUGUCCCAUAAAGCCGAUCUUGCUGGUAUGUUUUCAAGUUAAAUUCCGGAUUAUGCUGGAGUAUAUUUGGGGAGAUCAUUAAGAUCGUUAAGAGAUCAUUCGAUGGAAUACCAGCUGAAAAGAUGAGAAAAGACGGAUAGAUUUCGGCAAUUAAACGUGAUGGAUGGUGCCCAACCAAAUACACAUGCCUGUUUUGCAAUCACUUCAUUUCAGAGGUUUACGUGUGGCAGCGAUACGCUUCCGUGUACGGAGGAGAAGUCUGAGGUUGGUCAUUUCCGAAUAAUGCAGAGUAGCAAUAACAUCAUAAUGGAUCAUUCAUCAAUAAGCUCAGACGAAGUCCUCCCGACUGAAGGUGGCAGUUGUCUUUGUUGCCGUUCUGCUCGGUCGACUCUUCCUGGCCUCGUAAAACAACGGUGGCCUCAGAAUGACCCUGGACGAGGCGGGCGGCAGCAUGUAGGUCUUUCUGGUCCGGGCUGUGGCGUAAGUGGCUGGUCUACGUGUCCGGUUUGAGGACCUAUAUAGGACCAGAAUUAAGAAAUUUACAUCAGAAAGAAAACCCUUUUAAAAUUGGACAUUCUGGUAAAAGUCUGAUUUUUACCCCAAUGGAAGACCUUCUUUUGCAGAGAAAUAAGUGAGCACCGUCCCGCCAGAUAGCAAAAGGAUGGAGCCCCCCCAGCCGAUGAAAACUGCAGCUCCAAGCUCAAAUCUAAAUAUUUUUUUUAUACAUGCAUUAUGAUGGAUCGAUUCCCCUCCCCACAAAUGUAUUUCUCUUUUGACGUACUCACUUUUGUGCCCUGAAAUUUGGGUCGAGGAAUUCCGUGAUGACUCUGUUGGCCCACCAAGAGUAAGUGAUCAUGCCACAGAAGCCUGGCAUGAAGAUAAUCUCAUUCAUCUGAAAUCCAUUUGGAAAGUGCACUUCAUGCCAAUGAGAGUGAGGACGCCGCCAAAGAAGCCGGUGAUGACCGCGCAGACUGCCAGUGCUCUGCAGGCGUGCAGGAAAGCUGCAAGGAAACGUACAAACUGGACUGACCGGAGUGAGGAGGCUGCUACCACAAUCCGGAAACAUGCACUUCUUUUUUUUUUUUUUUUGACAAUCUGUAUUCAAUUUCUUGUUGACGGGGAAGCUGGACCCGAAAUAAAUCGUUUAGUUAUUAGCGCUUUGCCACCUUCAAAGUUUUUCAAGCAAUUCAACACAUCUCUUUGACUUACUAGUGCUGCAGGAUCAGGAGAAACUGGGGUUUCUGAACUCAUGCAGAAUGACACUUCAACAUGGUCUCUGGGGCUCAUGAUUGUACCCACAACCUUCGGAUAAGGAAGGAGUUCUUUAGAAAAGAUGCCGCCUGAUUCCUCGAGCCGCCGGGCACAGAUGACACGCGACUGCUGCCUCGGCUGCUGCCCGAUCCUGACAUUGUUGAUGCGUUGUACCUGGACGAGAGCCCAGAUCC